rnacentral:rRNA from 1 species
GACGAAGGAUGCAAGCGUUAUCCGGAUUCAUUGGGUUUAAAGGGAGCGUAGGCGGCCCUAUAAGUCAGUGGUGAAAUCUCCUCGCUUAACGAGGAAAUUGCCAUUGAUACUGUAGGGCUUGAGUACAGUUGCCGUUGGCGGAAUAUGACAUGUAGUGGUGAAAUACAUAGAGAUGUCAUAGAACACCGAUUGCGAAGGCAGCUAACGAAGCUGUAACUGACGCUGAGGCUCGAAAGUGCGGGGAUCAAACAGG